rnacentral:rRNA from 1 species
CGGAGGGUGCGAGUCGUUGUCCGGAUUUAUUGGGUUUAAAGGGUGCGUAGGUGGCUGUUUAAGUCAGUGGUGAAAUACGGUUGCUCAACAAUCGAGGUGCCAUUGAUACUGAAUAGCUUGAAAUAAUUGGAGGCUGCCGGAAUGGAUGGUGUAGCGGUGAAAUGCAUAGGAUAUCAUCCAGAACACCAAUUGCGAAGGCAGGUGGCUACGAUUUAUUUGACACUGAGGCACGAAAGCAUGGGGAGCAAACAGGAUUAGAUACCCUGGUAGUCCGUGCCGUAAACGAUGAGGACUCGCUGUUGGUGUUCAUGCAUCAGCGGCUUAGGGAAACCGUUAAGUCCUCCACCUGGGGAGUACGCCGGCAACGGUG